UACGGGGGGGGGCAAGCGUUGUUCGGAAUUACGGGGCGUAAAGGGCUCGUAGGCGGCCUGUUAAGUCGAACGUGAAAUCCCCGGGCUCAACCCGGGAACUGCGUCCGAUACUGGCAGGCUUGAAUCCGGGAGAGGGAUGUGGAAUUCCAGGUGUAGCGGUGAAAUGCGUAGAUAUCUGGAGGAACACCGGUGGCGAAGGCGGCAUCCUGGACCGGUAUUGACGCUCAGGCACGAAAGCGUGGGGAGCAAACAGG
rnacentral:rRNA from 1 species